UACGUAGGCCGCAAGCGUUGUUCGGAGUUACUGGGCGUAAAGGGUGUGUAGGCGGUUCUCUAAGGUUGGUGUGAAAUCUCCCGGCUCAACUGGGAGGGUGCGCCGAAAACUGGAGGGCUAGAGUACUGGAUGGGAGAGUGGAAUUCCUGGUGUAGCGGUGAAAUGCGUAGAUAUCAGGAGGAACACCUGUGGUGUAGACGGCUCUCUGGACAGUAACUGACGCUGAGACACGAAAGCGUGGGUAGCAAACAGG
rnacentral:rRNA from 1 species